AUGAACGCUGGCGGCGUGCUUAACACAUGCAAGUCGAACGAAGCACUUUAUUUGAUUUCCUUCGGGACUGAUUAUUUUGUGACUGAGUGGCGGACGGGUGAGUAACGCGUGGGUAACCUGCCUUGUACAGGGGGAUAACAGUUGGAAACGGCUGCUAAUACCGCAUAAGCGCACAGCAUCGCAUGAUGCAGUGUGAAAAACUCCGGUGGUAUAAGAUGGACCCGCGUUGGAUUAGCUAGUUGGUGAGGUAACGGCCCACCAAGGCGACGAUCCAUAGCCGACAUGAGAGGGUGACCGGACACAUUGGGACUGAGACACGGCCCAAACUCCUACGGGAAGCAGCAGUGGGGAAUAUUGCACAAUGGGCGAAAGCCUGAUGCAGCGACGCCGCGUGAGCGAAGAAGUAUUUCGGUAUGUAAAGCUCUAUCAGCAGGGAAGAUAAUGACGGUACCUGACUAAGAAGCACCGGCUAAAUACGUG
rnacentral:rRNA from 1 species